rnacentral:rRNA from 1 species
CCGGCGUCAGGUUAUUAAUUUUAUAAUUUAAAAAUUUAAUUCCCGAAAUUAAAGGAGAUAUUAAAUAUUGUUAGUUAAUGUUUUAUAAUUAUUAUUAAAUAUUUAAUAGAAGUUAUAUGCUAUUCAUUUUUAAAUAUCUGGUUUCUUGAUAAUUGAAUUUAAUUCAGAAUUAAAGUUUUUAUUUAAAAAUUAAAUUUUAAAUAUUAAAUUUAAUUUAAAAUUAUAGGGGAUAAGCUCUAUUAAUUUUUUUAUACUAAAAAUUUAAAUUAAUAAUUUGUAGGAUUAAAAAUUUCCAUCUUUAUUAAAUUUUAACAAUAAUUUAUUUUUAUUAAAUUAAUUUUAUGGAAAAGUUAAUAUUAUAUUGAGAAUUAUAAUAUAAUAAAGAUUUUGUAGUUAUAAUGAUAGAAUUAGUAAAAUUUUUAAUUAAUAUAUAGUAACUUGGCAAAACUAUUCUUCACCUGUUUAUCAAAAACAUGUCUUAAUGUAUUAUAUAUUAGGUUUUACCUGCUCAAUGAUUUAUUAAAAUUAAAUAGCCGCAGUAUUUUGACUGUGCGAAGGUAGCAUAAUCAUUUGUCUUUUAAUUGAAGGCUUGUAUGAAUGGUUUGAUGAGAGAAUAACUUUCUUUAUAUUAAAUAUUGAAUUUAAUUUUUAAGUAAAAAAGCUUAAAUUUUUAAAUGGGACGAGAAGACCCUAUAGAAUUUUAUUUAAAUUUUUAAUUUAAAAUUAUUGGUUAUAUUAUUUUUUAUAUUAUUAUUUAAAUUUUGUUGGGGUGACAGUAAGAUAUUUUUAACUCUUAUAAUUUAAAAAUUAAUUAUUAUUAUAUUAAAGAUCCUAUUUUAAGGAAUAAUAGAUCAAAUUACCUUAGGGAUAACAGCGUAAUUUUUUUGGAGAGUUCUUAUCAAUAAAAGAGUUUGCGACCUCGAUGUUGGAUUAAAAUUAGAUUUUAGUGCAGAAGCUAAAAUUACUAGGUCUGGUCGACCUUAAAUUUAUAGGUG